AUCCAUUUGAUAGACCUGGAACAGUUAAUGUCUGCUCUUAAGGUUUCCACUACAGAUGGAAACCUGGCUUUCUGAUUGUGGCAACCAAGAUUGAAUGGGGGAAUAUGGAA
rnacentral:snoRNA from 1 species